CAGUUGCGUUGUAAAGAAUGCAUUUAUGGUAACAAAGUCGAUGAAAAUGGAUGUAGAACUUGCCAAUGCAAUUGUCCUUUGUUGAGAUGCAAGGAGUGUGCUAAUGGCAAUCAAAUCGAUGAAAAUGGAUGUAGAACCUGCCGUUGUAAUUGCCCUCCUUUGGUAAAUUGUACUAAGUACUGUUCUAAUGGUUAUCAAAUCGAUGAAAAUGGAUGUAGAACUUGCCGUUGCA